AAACAGAUUAACCGCCAGUGCCUCGAGGCCUGUGAAAGGCGUCUGCAGAAGAUGAAGUGGGUUUUCAUACCUGACAGUAUCCCAGAUGGAGCUUAGCGUGGCUUUACCAAAGAAGCUGCCAGAACAAAUAUGACACACUGCUCUGACAGGAUCCCGUUCCAGUUGUGGCUCUCCCGCGGCCGACUGCCGUUGGACCCUCACAAUGCUGGCUUUCUCCUAGCCAGUCGGCUGUCGUUUAUUGACCCAAGCUAAGCCCCUGGCUCUUGGUGCUUUCCUACUCAACUGCCCACAGCCAUCACAGCCCGUUUCAACAGAGGCUGCGUUGUAAUUCCACUUCACGGAUGAAGCCCUCGCGGUCUGGAACCAUUGUGGCCCAGUGUGAGGAGUCCUGACACCUCUCUUUCCCAGCAGCCAGCGCUUCCUCUGAGGCCCUAGCUAGCACACAUACUCGGACUCUCGAUACCUAGCAUGCUUCCCAAAGUCUAGAGAAGAGGACAAACUACAAGGAGCUUACAGUCCUCCUGGGCUGGCCCCCGUGGCCCACAUAUUACUCCAGAAGAUGAUACCAGCCAUCCACUACACAAACGAGAUACUGCUUUUUCCAUGUUUUACCCCUGUCUCAUCAACAAGAUGCCAACAAAAACACUCAUUGCCUACAGUGGGGCACGGGACUACCCAAAUUCUAAGGGUUCCUGGACUUCUGAGGGUUUCAAAUAGCAGAGCCAACUAAUUUGAACUUGUGAUAGUAGCCCCAUACUCCUUUAUUUUUACAUUUAUGCCUUACUCAUACAAAAGCUAUUUAAGCAUUACAGACUUCUGAAUAUCCAAAGAAAAUAUUUAUCCCAUCCGGGGUCCCCAGUGAGGCAAGCCAUGUUCAGUUUUCUGCAUUCAGUUGGUGUUGGUCUUCUGUUUUCCCAGAGAACUCUCAGCCUUACCUCAUCUGCUUCGCUAGUAGUCUGAGAAGAGCAGAGUCGGCUCAGCCUCCCCACUCCUGCUGUUGACAGGGUGGGCCUCGGGCUUGGACUCUUGGGAAUAUCACAGGUGGAUGCUAAGCUUCACCGCCAGAAUCACCACCUGGAGGACUGGCUCAUGGCCACCCACCUGGAACAGCCAACCAGAACUUGACUCCAGCUCCAAACUCACCACCAGCAAGACCCCAAGACAAGUGACCUCUGGGCCU
rnacentral:lncRNA from 1 species